GAUGAACGCUGGCGGCGUGCCUAAUACAUGCAAGUCGAGCGAACGGACGAGAAGCUUGCUCCUCUGAUGUUAGCGGCGGACGGGUGAGUAACACGUGGAUAACCUACCUAUAAGACUGGGGUAACUUCGGGAAACCGGAGCUAAUACCGGAUAAUAUUUUGAACCGCAUGGUUCAAAAGUGAAAGACGGUCUUGCUGUCACUUAUAGAUGGAUCCGCGCUGCAUUAGCUAGUUGGUAAGGUAACGGCUUACCAAGGCAACGAUGCGUAGCCGACCUGAGAGGGUGAUCGGCCACACUGGAACUGAGACACGGUCCAGACUCCUACGGGAGGCAGCAGUAGGGAAUCUUCCGCAAUGGGCGAAAGCCUGACGGAGCAACGCCGCGUGAGUGAUGAAGGUCUUCGGAUCGUAAAACUCUGUUAUUAGGGAAGAACAAAUGUGUAAGUAACUGUGCACAUCUUGACGGUACCUAAUCAGAAAGCCACGGCUAACUACGUG
rnacentral:rRNA from 1 species